UGGAGGUCUUUUCCAACCCAGUUGAUUGUAUGAUUCUAUGAUUCUAUUCUGAGGGUUCACUUUGGUUUAUUCACAAUAAGAUGAACAGAUUACUCAGCCUUUAUUUCUUUGCUUUCUUGCCAGUGUUAAAUGAUUACCUAGGCUGUAUUUAAUCUUAAAAAUUUAUAGGUUCUAAUUGCUACAACUAAGGCAACAUCCUCUUCAGAAAACCUGCUCAGCUGACCAUAACUGGAUGUUAUUUCCACCAGGCUGUGUCGCUCUGGCUUUAAUUCCUUCAGGGUAUUUAACAAGUCCUUAAAUAUGUUCCUCAAUCAACUUUUGUUGCUGGAUGAACUCGUAUGUUUAAAGGUUUAUAUUUAGGCAAGUCUUUAAUUGCCAGGAUGAGCUGAAGUCUUUAGUGGUUAAAGCCUGUGGUCAGUUAUUUUAUUUGGUAGUUUUACACUGCAAAGCCGCUGUUUGCUGUUUCUGUAUCAAAAUUAGAAUCUGAGAAACAUGGCUCAAGUAGGAAUUUUAGACACACACUGUUGGGAUAUCAUAAGAAUUUUCUCUGGUGUUAGUUUUUAUGGCUGAGUAUUAAGAAAAUGUUUUGUCAUAGGAUAACCUAAUUUUUGAUUUUUCAGAAACACACCAUAUAAGUCUUUAAACUUAAAUUGCACAGCACUACACUUAAACUAGUAUCUUCAUGUCACAAAGUUUUAAUUUCUAGGGCUGAAGAUAUGAAAGAAUGAAGAAAGGAAGAAUAGGCCAUUCUCAUAUAUUUGGAUACAAUGGCCUCUUCUGCAGCAGUGGCUGUACUUUGAAUAAAGCUGUUGGAUUCCACAGAGAAAACAGAAGACAACAGGCUGAAGCUACAGGCAAAAGCAAACAGAGAGACCAGCUGUUUGGGGAAAUCAGAGGUCUGAAUUUGCAGCCUCGAGGAGAAAACAAAUUUCCUAUUAAGUUUGCAUUGACCAGUAACUGAAAUACAGCAAAAAUACAAACAAUUUUAUCUGGCAGCUUUGGGAACAUAAUCCAAUUCUGCAAAAGCGUUUACCACAUAAUGGAAUUUAUUUUAUUAUGUACUAAAAAAAAUAUAUCUUAUAAUAAAACAUUUCUAUCCCUUUGA